GGGUUGUGAGGUUAAGCGACUAAGCGUACACGGUGGAUGCCCUGGCAGUCAGAGGCGAUGAAGGACGUGCUAAUCUGCGAAAAGCGUCGGUAAGGUGAUAUGAACCGUUAUAGCCGGCGAUGUCCGAAUGGGGAAACCCAGUGUGAUUCGUCACACUAUCGUUAACUGAA
rnacentral:rRNA from 1 species